rnacentral:rRNA from 1 species
UACGGAGGGUGCGAGCGUUGUCCGGAAUCACUGGGCGUAAAGGGCGCGUAGGCGGCCUGAUAAGUUGGGGGUGAAAUCCUGCGGCUUAACCGCAGGGCUGCCUUCUAAACUGUCAGGCUAGAGCACGGUAGAGGCAGAUGGAAUUCCCGGUGUAGCGGUGGAAUGCGUGGAGAUCGGGAAGAACAUCAGUGGCGAAGGCGGUCUGCUGGGCCGUUGCUGACGCUGAGGCGCGACAGCGUGGGGAGCAAACAGG